rnacentral:misc_RNA from 1 species
CCUCUUAUACGCCGUGGCACAGACGUGGUGAUUUGGUGUCUAUCUGCCUGUCUGUUGUGAUUACGGGCAGCCCACGAGGAGCAAGUCCUACAGAUAGACCUAUCAAGAGAGAGCGAGAGAGGCACAGCCUGCAAGCGAACGACAUUAUUUGGUGGUGCUGUCGCUUCUGCUUCACACUUAUCCCCGCCACCGCCACCGAGUUGUCUCCUUUAUUUCUCUGACUUCUCACUACCCAGACUUCGAAGAAGAUGUUGAGAACGCUUCUUCUGUUUGGUGGGCGCGUACGGCGAUCACCCGUCCUCCGACCGGGCGCAAAGGUGGGCGCGCAAGACACAAAAGCUGCAGAGCGAGCGCUCCGCCGCAAGGCGGAGCUGGCAGCUGAGAAGCAAUUCAUGAAGCUCAUCUGCACAGCCCGAACUCGACGACAGCGUCAAAUCGCCGACGCCAUACGGCGAGCCUUAGCUGCCAAGUCUGACGCAGCAGCUACAAAGAACGACGCGCGAUAUGUUCGAAAUCGCAAGAUUGCGAGGGCAGAACUUGCAGCAGUGCACAGGGAAGUGGCGCAGAAGGCGGCGGAGGCGAGGAAAGCGCAGGCGGCCAAGCCCGUCAAGGCACGGCUUGUGCGGCAGCCCUCCAGAAUGCUCGACAAGAAGAAGCAAGCGGCAAAUGAGAAGCGCUUCUUAGCCACGCUGCAACAGCGGCUGGAGCGACGAAAGGCUCGGGUCGCGGCACUUGUCGCGAAGACCGCGAAGAUGGAAGAAGCAAAGGCGAAGGCAAAAGCGAAAACCGAGGCGAAGGUGGAAGCGCUCGCUAAAGCCGAGGCGGCUGCCAAGGCGGAACAGCGCUUCGAGGAAACCAUCCGCCGGCGCCAGGAGCAACGGGCUGCGCGCGUCAAGGUGCUCGUGGAGAAGCGCACAAAGGUAGCGGCAGCGGAGGCAGAAGCCGCGACUGCGAGCCAGGAAAAUGAGUUCACCGCGGAGCUUAACCGGCUUAUGGAAGAGCGAGACGCACGCGUUCAGGCUAUCAUCGCGGAGCAUAUGAACGCAGCAGAGGUCGCUGACAGCGAGCAGAACGCGGAAACUCCAGCGCCGGCACCAAAGGCAGCGGCCUCGACUAGUCGCAAGUCCCAGCGCAAUGUGAACGCCAGUGCCGCGGCACUGCUGGACACGUCUGAUGAGGCCACUGCGCCGGCAACGCCGCCGCGAAAGGCGGCGCCGACGGAAGUGAAGGCGGUAGAAGAGCCUGCGAAGAAGCCUACCACGCCACGACGGCGGGGCCGACCUGCAUCAAAACCACCGCACGUCGCCACGGAUGUGCCGAGUGCGGCACCAGUGGAAGCCCUUGACGAAGCAGAGGCAGCAGCGUCGGCAGUGCAGGAAGCACGCGCGGCAGAAGAAUUGCUACCCUCACCAUCACAGCCGCGUCGACUGGCAGCUGCCGACCUGGAGGAACUGGCAAGCGCGCAUGAAGAUUUUGUGGCGCACUUAGAGAAGGCGAAGGAACGCACCACAGCACCAUCGUCGACUCGUGUCUCACCGGUGCCGAGCGCCCUUGCUUCGUCAUCAGAAGCCCAGAGAACGUGGGUGAUGGCCGAGAAUACAACAGGGCUAUUCCGCUUAUAGAAAGAGACGAGUGAGCUUGCCUGCGUUGCCGUUUCUGGUAGCUGACACAUCCCUAUGGCGCAGAAGAACGCGAUCAUUGUGAGCGUGCGCCAUGCGAGUUUGCGAUAGAGUGACAGAAGCCUGUUUGUUUUGUGGGCUGCUUGGCGCGAUGCUUAGGGAGCCGACGAGGCACCUACAUUUCCCUCCGAAUGCGCACUGACUGUGUUUACCGUGUGCGCCACAAGUCAGCGCCGCCUCCACCACCACGUGGCGAGAGCCUUUCAUCGAUUCCCUCCUUCCCUUUCCUCCGAUCUGCUCCUCUAGAAGGGGCCACAGACGGAUGGCGUGCUUCAGACAGUUCGAUAGAUGCUGUGCCGAACGCGUUUUGUGUAUAUAUGUGUGUGUGUGUGAUGUCGGCGCUGCCUUGCUAACGGCGCGUAUUCCUUUGCUGUUUCUGGUGUAAUGGCCUGGCAACGAGGGAUGGCGCAAGGGUGUGCCUGUGGGCGGAGGGGGGUAGGCGCGAUGAUCAGAAGGGUGGUAUUGCCUGCAACCGCCUUGUGCAUCUCCGCGUCACCCGCCGAACUGUGUGUUGUAUGGAUGCGCCUUUGUCUUCUCUUGGUUUUCUCCUCCUCGUCUGAUCGCACCGCUCAUACACGGCGAGUUGCGACUGUCUACUUCAUAGAAAUCUGCGCGGCUGUGUGCUUC